rnacentral:rRNA from 1 species
GUGCCAGCAGCCGCGGUAAUUCCAGCUCCAAUAGCGUAUAUUAAAGUUGUUGUGGUUAAAAAGCUCGUAGUUGAACCUUGGGCCUGGCUGGCCGGUCCGCCUCACCGCGUGCACUGGUCCGGCCGGGCCUUUCCCUCUGUGGAACCCCAUACCCUUCACUGGGCGUGGCGGGGAAACAGGACAUUUACUUUGAAAAAAUUAGAGUGCUCCAGGCAGGCCUAUGCUCGAAUACAUUAGCAUGGAAUAAUAAAAUAGGACGCGCGGUUCUAUUUUGUUGGUUUAUAGGACCGCCGUAAUGAUUAAUAGGGACAGUCGGGGCAUCAGUAUUCAACUGUCAGAGGUGAAAUUCUUGGAUCAGUUGAAGACUAACUACUGCGAAAGCAUUUGCCAAGGAUGUUUUCAUUAAUCAGGAACGAAAGUUAGGGGAUCGAAGACGAUCAGAUACCGUCGUAGUCUUAACCAUAAACUAUGCCGACUAGGGAUCGGACGGUGUUAUUCAUGACCCGUUCGGCACCUUACGAGAAAUCAAAGUGCUUGGGCUCCAGGGGGAGUAUGGUCGCAAGGCUGAAACUUAAAGAAAUUGACGGAAGGGCACCACCAGGGGUGGAGCCUGCGGCUUAAUUUGACUCAACACGGGGAAACUCACCAGGUCCAGACACAAUAAGGAUUGACAGAUUGAGAGCUCUUUCUUGAUUUUGUGGGUGGUGGUGCAUGGGCCGUUCUUAGUUGGUGGGGUGACUUGUCUGCUUAAUUGCGAUAACGAACGAGACCUUAACCUGCUU